rnacentral:tRNA from 1 species
CGGGCUGUGGUGUAGCCUGGACAACAUCCCGUCGUCGGAAGGCGGUGAGCGUAGGUUCGAAUCCUACCAGCCCGACCA